rnacentral:snRNA from 1 species
GUGCUUGCUUCGGUAGCACGUAUACUAAAACUGAAACAAUACAGAGACGAUUAGCACAGACCCUAAGCAACAAUGACAUGCAAAUUUGUAAAGUGUUCCAUAUUUUU